rnacentral:rRNA from 1 species
AUUGAACGCUGGCGGCAGGCCUAACACAUGCAAGUCGAGCGGAGCGGCGGACGGGGGAGUAAUGCCUAGGAAUCUGAAUGGUAGUGGGGGAUAACGUCUGGAAACGGGAGCUAAUACCGCAUACUAUCAGAUGAGCCUAGGUCGGAUUAGCUAGUUGGUGGGGUAAAGGCUCACCAAGGCGACGAUCCGUAACUGGCCUGAGAGGAUGAUCAGUCACACUGGAACUGAGACACGGUCCAGACUCCUACGGGAGGCAGCAGUGGGGAAGAUUGGACAAUGGGCGCAAGCCUGAUGCAGCCAUGCCGCGUGUGUGAAGAAGGUCUUCGGGUUGUAAAGCACUUUAAGUUGGGAGGCGUUACCAACAGAAGAAGCACCGGCUAACUUCGUGCCAGCAGCCGCGGUAAUAC